UGUUAUUCUAAAAGACAACCUGAUUCUGCAUGAAAGGUGCUGUUUGGUCUUUGUUUAAGGGAAAACUUACAAGAGGUGAAGAUUUCUGCUGUGCUACAUGUGGCCCAGAGGGGUUGUUGUCUCACAACCCCAUGGCUCUCUGGGAGGAGAGACAAGCUGUGUCAUCCUGUAUGGCCAGGCCUAUGAACAGCUCGAACUCCUCCUUCCACCAGGUCCAUCAUUGGGCUAGGUUUGUGUCACAGGCCCUGGUGCCGACGAGGAGGAGGAGGAUGGGGGACAUGCAACAGGAAGGUCAAGCUAUGCUGCGAGCCAGAAGCUGUUUGAGACUCCUCCACAGUCAGUCCUGGCAGUCAAACAUGGGCGAGCCCAAUGCAGGGGAAGUAACCUUGGCUGCUGCUGUUGUGGCCUUGAGGUUCCUCCUCUAGAUCCGUGGAAAUAUUGAGCCAGAUAAGGAGGAGAAAGAAGAGGACUCAGACUGACAUGUUCAGUAAAUUCCUGCAAGCCAGUGCUGCAUCAGACUGAACAGAGGGCCUGAGGGGUGAACAUUGCCGACUGUGUGAGAAUGAAAGAGUGGACAGGAGAAAAGCCCAGAAGUCAGACUGGGAGAUGGGUCUUCUCUGGUAGCAAACACAGAUGCUGCAGACUCAUGGAAAACUCCACUGCAGCACCUCCCUACAUCCCUCUCAACAUUCCACAUGGCAUUGGAGGACACAUCCAUACCCCACCACUUCACUUCGGGGGACACUGACAACCACAACUUCUCAUACAUUGGCCAGUAAGAGCCACGGUUGAUGUAUAUGUAGCUAAAAUGG